AUACGGAGGGAGCAAGCGUUGUUCGGAAUCACUGGGCGUAAAGCGAGUGUAGGUUGUCAGGUAAGAGGAUGUGAAAGCCCGGGGCUCAACCCCGGAAUUGCAUUCUAAACUGCCUGGCUAGAGUCCCGGAGAGGGAGGUGGAAUUCCGAGUGUAGAGGUGAAAUUCGUAGAUAUUCGGAGGAACACCAGAGGCGAAGGCGACCUCCUGGACGGUGACUGACACUGAGACUCGAAAGCGUGGGGAGCAAACCGGAUUAGAAACCCUAGUAGUCC
rnacentral:rRNA from 1 species